UGCGUAGGCGGCGCUGCAAGUCAGAUGUGAAAUCCCCGGGCUUAACUCGGGGGGUGCAUUUGAAACUGCAGUGCUUGAGUGCAGGAGAGGAAAGCGGAAUUUCUAGUGUAGCGGUGAAAUGCGUAGAUAUUAGGAAGAACACCAGUGGCGAAGGCGGCUUUCUGGACUGUAACUGACGCUGAUGCACGAAAGCGUGGGGAGCAAACA
rnacentral:rRNA from 1 species